UACAGAGGGUGCGAGCGUUAAUCGGAAUUACUGGGCGUAAAGCGAGCGUAGUCGGUUGUCUAAGUCGGAUGUGAAAUCCCCGGGCUCAACCUGGGAAUUGCAUUCGAUACUGGAUAGCUAGAGUUCGGCAGAGGGAAGCGGAAUUUCCGGUGUAGCGGUGAAAUGCGUAGAUAUCGGAAGGAACAUCAGUGGCGAAAGCGGCUUCCUGGACCAGAACUGACGAUCAGGCUCGAAAGCGUGGGGAGCAAACAGG
rnacentral:rRNA from 1 species